rnacentral:rRNA from 1 species
GUGCUUAACACAUGCAAGUCGAGUGCGCGGUAGCAAUACUGGCGCACGGCGCACGGGUGCGUAACACGUGGGCAAUCUGCCCUCCCAGUGGGGAAUAACCCGCCGAAAGGCGAGCUAAUACCGCAUAACAUUCCUUGGACUUCGGUUCGAGGAUUCAAAGUCCGCAAGGACGCUGGAGGAGGUUUCGCGGGCGAUUAGCUAGUUGGCGGGGUAACGGCCCACCAAUGCGAUGAUCGGUAGCUGGUCUGAGAGGACGGCCGGCCACACUGGAACUGAGACACGGUCCAG